rnacentral:rRNA from 1 species
GAUGAACGCUGGCGGCGUGCCUAAUACAUGCAAGUCGAGCGAACAGACGAGAGUGCUUGCACUCUCUGACGUUAGCGGCGGACGGGUGAGUAACACGUGGGUAACCUACCUAUAAGACUGGGAUAACUUCGGGAAACCGGAGCUAAUACCGGAUAAUAUUUAGCUUCGCAUGAGGCAAUAGUGAAAGACGGUUCUGCUGUCACUUAUAGAUGGACCCGCGGUGUAUUAGCUAGUUGGUGAGGUAACGGCUCACCAAGGCAACGAUACAUAGCCGACCUGAGAGGGUGAUCGGCCACACUGGGACUGAGACACGGCCCAGACGCCUACGGGAGGCAGCAGUAGGGAACCUGCCGCAAUGGACGAAAGUCUGACGGAGCAAUGCCGCGUGAGUGAAGAAGGUUUUCGGAUCGUAAAACUCUGUUGUAAGGGAAGAACAAGUACGUUAGUAACUGAACGUACCUUGACGGUACCUUACCAGAAAGCCACGGCUAACUACGUG